GACGUAGGGGGCCAGCGUUGUUCGGAAUUACUGGGUGUAAAGGGUUCGUAGGCGGUGCGGCAAGUUGGGAGUGAAAUCUCUGGGCUUAACCCAGAGGCUGCUUCCAAAACUGCUGUGCUUGAGUGUGGGAGAGGCGCGUGGAAUUGCAGGUGUAGCGGUGAAAUGCGUAGAUAUCUGCAGGAACACCGGUGGCGAAGGCGGCCACCUGGACGGUAACUGACGCUGAGACGCGAAAGCGUGGGGAGCAAACAGG
rnacentral:rRNA from 1 species